rnacentral:rRNA from 1 species
UACGAAGGGGGCUAGCGUUGCUCGGAAUCACUGGGCGUAAAGCGCACGUAGGCGGAUUGCUAAGUCAGGGGUGAAAUCCUGGAGCUCAACUCCAGAACUGCCUUUGAUACUGGCGAUCUCGAGUCCGGGAGAGGUGAGUGGAACUGCGAGUGUAGAGGUGAAAUUCGUAGAUAUUCGCAAGAACACCAGUGGCGAAGGCGGCUCACUGGCCCGGUACUGACGCUGAGGUGCGAAAGCGUAGGGAGCAAACAGG